GACGGAGGGUGCAAGCGUUGCUCGGAAUCACUGGGCGUAAAGCGCGUGUAGGCGGCCCGGUAAGUCGAGUGUGAAAGCCCGAGGCUCAACCUCGGAAGUGCAUUCGAAACUGCCGGUCUUGAGUACGGGAGAGGGAAGUGGAAUUCCUGGUGUAGAGGUGAAAUUCGUAGAUAUCAGGAGGAACACCGGUGGCGAAGGCGGCUUCCUGGACCGAUACUGACGCUGAGACGCGAAAGCGUGGGGAGCAAACAGG
rnacentral:rRNA from 1 species